CGGUAUACGAGGGUACGAGCGGGUCAGCAAUCACGUGGUCUCAAUAUGAACGUAGUGGCGGUGUGUGUACUGUGUUAAAUUGUCCGUUAUUACUGCGACUACAACCAUGCUGUGCCUACGUGGUCUCAACUGCUUCUGCCACGAUUUGACAUUUACAACUCUGAGGCUUCGCCUUCGCUGAGCUGCACGAAUCUCAUUCUCAGCAGAAGUGUCAGCUGCCAUGAUAAGGUGUUGCUCCACUGUGACACGCCUCAGGUACUGUACACACAACCCCAUCGGCUGCCCGACACCUGUCAAGUCUGCCACAGUGCUGGCCAUCUGUCGCAGCAGGAGUCUUAGAUUCUCAGUCACUAUAAAAAAAACAAGCUAUUUUUUAAAUAAUUAAUCCUGUUUUGUGUUUCCACUGAACAUUUAUUGUAAUCUCAAAUUAAUCCAAAGCAUCUUGACAAAUCUGAAAUAAGUUGUAACAUACUUGUAAUAAUGAAAUAAAUCAACAAACUACAUGCUUUC